UACGAAGGGGGCUAGCGUUGCUCGGAAUCACUGGGCGUAAAGGGUGCGUAGGCGGGUCUUUAAGUCAGGGGUGAAAUCCUGGAGCUCAACUCCAGAACUGCCUUUGAUACUGGCGACCUUGAGUUCGGGAGAGGUGAGUGGAACUGCGAGUGUAGAGGUGAAAUUCGUAGAUAUUCGCAAGAACACCAGUGGCGAAGGCGGCUCACUGGCCCGAUACUGACGCUGAGGUGCGAAAGCGUGGGGAGCAACAGG
rnacentral:rRNA from 1 species